GUAGGUGGCAAGCGUUGUCCGGAAUUAUUGGGCGUAAAGCGCGCGCAGGUGGUUCUUUAAGUCUGAUGUGAAAGCCCCCGGCUCAACCGGGGAGGGUCAUUGGAAACUGGGGAACUUGAGUGCAGGAGAGGAAAGUGGAAUUCCACGUGUAGCGGUGAAAUGCGUAGAUAUGUGGAGGAACACCAGUGGCGAAGGCGACUCUCUGGCCUGUAACUGACACUGAGGCGCGAAAGCGUGGGGAGCAAACAGGGAUUAGAUACCCUGGUAGUCCACGCCGUAAACGAUGAGUGCUAAGUGUUGGGGGGGUUUCCGCCCCCUCAGUGCUGCAGCUAACGCAUUAAGCACUCCGCCUGGGAGUACGGUCGCAAGACUG
rnacentral:rRNA from 1 species